UAUUUCAAGUCUGCAACAGGACUAGUUGACUUAACACCACUUGCCACUGUAAUAAUUACUUCCCAGGAAAAUAAGUCCAAGGAUAUUUUUCCAGUUUCUAUGCCAAGCCAUGAUAAUGAUUAAUUGCACAGUACCUGGCACAUGGUAAGAGCUUCCUAAUUAUUACAAGUUGUUGAAUGAAUUAUUUCAGGGCUCUGGGAAUAAGCCAAAAUCUCUUGAGACUUGAGCCUUUAUUAGAGAGACCUGAUAUAUGAGACACAUUUAGGGCCUUUCCCUUUUGGGCUCUCCAGGAAUAUUGAGGACCAGAUAUAUCAAGGUGAUCCAACCUGAAACUGAACUGGAAGCCAGCAGGCUGCUCCAUGCAAAUCAUCUGUGUUUCCUUCCUAAUCAAUUCUAUCUGUUUUUUUUUUUUUUUUCCUUGAACAUCUAUCCUUCUGCCUCAGAGCCUUUGGACUUGCUGUUCUCUUAGUCUGGAUCAUCUACCCCUUUGAAUAGCUCAUUGUCUCUCUUUACCGAAGUUUCAGUUUAAAUUCACCUCUUCAGAGAAGCCAAGACUACUAUUGAUCACUAGUGAUCAUUGUUUGGCCUCAGCCUACACUAGUCUCUUCCACUUAUCUUUCUCUUUAUACCACUUACUACUGCCUGCCAUGGUAUUAUAUUUAUUUGGUUGGUUGGUUAUCCUCUGAUUCUCCCACUAAAAGGCAGUCUCCCUGAGACCGGGAUUUAUUUUGUUCUUCUUCCAUCUGCAAUAUAUAGAUCUAGAACAAAGCCUCGCCACUAGCAGGAAACUUGAUAAAUGUUGGUUUAUGAAUGAAUCCACUCUCUCAGAUCUGGUCCAGAUACCACUGGACCAGUUAAAAAUUAUAUGGAUUUCCCACCAUGUGGAAGGAUUAUUAUUCAGCAUAAGUAAAAGUGAAGAACACGUGAUCCCAAACCCACAAAAGCCUGCAAUCUGGUUGCUCUAGGUUAGACUGUUAGGCUGAUAGCAGUUUACUUCCCAUAAUUCUAUUUCCUGCCAGGCUCCCGAGAGGAGAGACAGUGCUUUGGGUGAAGAACAACACUCAUUUUAGCAGAGGUUCCAUGGUGUUUUCCAUGAGAGUCAUCUCUGGGCAAACAAUGUAAGCUUCAAAGUAAAUUUAGUUUCUCAUCUGGGAUGAAUAACUUGUAAUUGUGUCUUAUAAAUUGUACCCAGCAAUCCUUUUCUCACCCCUAGCCCUUGAAGAUUGGAGGAAAUGGCGUUUCUGACUACACCAGUAACAGGAUGGGAGCUUAUUUUAAAAACACUUGUAGGAAAGGCUUUGGAGAAAAACUAGCUUAUCGGGAGACUCCUAAUUCAGGAUCUUAUAUCCUUGAUUAAACUCUGACUUUUACAAUUUCCCAAAGUACACACACACACACACACGCACACCAGAAUUAACUGAUUCAGAAUGAAACCAGCUAACACAGUGGCGCAUUGUGUAGAGGUUGAUCUCUAUUGUGACCUAACUCCAUGGACUACAUGGAGUUAUAAGAACCAAAACUAGGUAUUUGUGUGACCAAAAGGUAAGGAAAUUAAGAAUACCUAAGGCUAUUAAAGGAAAAAAAAUAAGAAGGUAAGCAAUAAGAAAAGCUUUCAGAGUCUCACAGCUCAGUCCUCUGUUAGGAGGUAAAAGUUUUAUUUCUGUCUCAAGUGUAGGCUUAGGCAAACCCAAGUCUUGCUCUUUGUGGUGGGCUUAUGAGCAGGGUGAAUGGAAAAAGGGAAAUUCCUGGCAAGCUCUGGCUUGGAGAUGGUACAAAAAAACCUCAGUAAGUAUAGUGUAUUUCCUUCUUUCCUGAAUCCAUACUAACUUGCCCAGUAAAACUUUCUUUAGUCCUUUACUGAUUCCAAGACUUAUUUUAAUUUUUGCCUUUCAAUUCUUAUUUCCUUUCCCACAGAUGGUACUGGGUAAAACAGAAGCCUGUAAAAGUAAAGCUUAAAAGACGUUCUUUCCUUUUUUUGGCUUUAAAAUGUUUCACAUGACUACAUGAUAGUCCCACCUCAUCCACCCACACUUACAUUUUUCCUCUUCCUAGCAUUAAUAGGUCUAAACAUGCAGUUAGGCAGGAAAUUUAGAAUAAGAAACUUUAUUAUUUUCUUGCCUCUUAGAGGAGUUUUCAAAAAAAUAUUGGAGGGGUUCUGAUUCCAGGUACAACAGAGUUAGUGUACUCACACCACCCUGUUCCUCCCACUGAAUGCGGCUAAAAAACCUGGGCAGAAUAAGUGGAGCAUCUGAGGACUCUGAAAAGUAAAUAAUAGCAGGCAGAUUGGAGAUGAAGACCAAAAUGAAAACCUUUCACUGGAGAACAGUCUUCCCCCACACUAUCCCAUAGAAAUACUGUUCACUAUAUCUGGUUCAGGAGGACUGACUCUCCCAACUCCUUUCUCCAGGAGUGGACACAUGAUCCAGGACUGGCCAGAAUUCUACAUCAAGUUGGACAGUUCAGGCAUGGACCAGCACCUGGCUCUCCUCUCAGGGCCUUUCUCCUGUCUAAAUUUGGUGGGUGACCUCUGGCUGGAAAGAGAAAGUGAGGUGGUGGAAAGAGACAAGGUUUCUUCCUUCCCUGCAGGAGGCUGUGGCAAAAAGCCAGCAUUCACAUUCCACAGGCAAUCGAGAGCCACUGUGAAGUCUCUUCCUGAUAGCCCAAACCAAAUUUAUGACUUCCAGAAAUCUCCAGAUCCAAGG